CAGCUGCCUGCUACUGGCAUUUAACCAACAUGAAAGCACUCGUUCUCGUCAGCCUGCUGAUCAGGACCUGCUUCACACUAACCUUCGAGGACACCACUAGUCAUUACAAUACGACGGGGCCGUGUCCAACGCCAUACCUGGUAGGAGAGCAUUACUUUCGGCCCGACUGCCAACUGUGCCUAUGUUAUGAUGGCUUCUACACCUGCUUUAUGUGUCCCAGAGUGAACAUAUACAGCUCAACUUGUAAAAGAGUAAUAC